ensembl:snoRNA SNORA70 Small nucleolar RNA SNORA70
CUGCAGCCAAUUAAACCAACUAAGCUACUUUCCUCAUAAAGGCCCAGUGUGCAGACAGAGCCUGCCUGGCCUGUCGUUGUACGAUUUCCCUAAGAGACUUCGAGACAAUG